ACGCUCGACACCUACGGGGGGCAGCAGUUGGGAAUAUUGGACAAUGGAGGAAACUCUGAUCCAGUGACGCCGCGUGAAGGAAGAAGGUCUUCGGAUUGUAAACUUAUUUUGUCAGGGAAGAAAAAUGACGUGUACCUGAAGAAAAAGCACCGGCUAACUACGUGUCAGCAGCCGCGGUAAUCUGAGCGGGCUGGCAAGGC
rnacentral:rRNA from 1 species